AGCGAACGCUGGCGGCAGGCCUAACACAUGCAAGUCGAACGGAUCCUUCGGGAUUAGUGGCGGACGGGUGAGUAACACGUGGGAACGUGCCCUUUGGUUCGGAACAACUCAGGGAAACUUGAGCUAAUACCGGAUGUGCCCUUCGGGGGAAAGAUUUAUCGCCAUUGGAGCGGCCCGCGUCUGAUUAGCUAGUUGGUGAGGUAAAGGCUCACCAAGGCGACGAUCAGUAGCUGGUCUGAGAGGAUGAUCAGCCACAUUGGGACUGAGACACGGCCCAAACGCCGACGGGGGGCAGCAGUGGGGAAUCUUGCGCAAUGGGCGAAAGCCUGACGCAGCCAUGCCGCGUGAAUGAUGAAGGUCUUAGGAUUGUAAAAUUCUUUCACCGGGGACGAUAAUGACGGUACCCGGAGAAGAAGCCCCGGCUAACUUCGUGCCAGCAGCCGCCGUAAUAA
rnacentral:rRNA from 1 species